GAUGAACGCUGGCGGCGUGCCUAAUACAUGCAAGUCGAGCGAGCGGACGAGAAGCUUGCUUCUCUGAUGUUAGCGGCGGACGGGUGAGUAACACGUGGAUAACCUACCUAUAAGACUGGGAUAACUUCGGGAAACCGGAGCUAAUACCGGAUGAUAUUUUGAACCGCAUGGUUCAAAAGAGAAAGACGGUCUUGCUGUCACUUAUAGAUGGAUCCGCGCUGCAUUAGCUAGUUGGUAAGGUAACGGCUUACCAAGGCAACGAUGCAUAGCCGACCUGAGAGGGUGAUCGGCCACACUGGAACUGAGACACGGUCCAGACUCCUACGGGAGGCAGCAGUAGGGAAUCUUCCGCAAUGGGCGAAAGCCUGACGGAGCAACGCCGCGUGAGUGAUGAAGGUCUUCGGAUCGUAAAACUCUGUUAUUAGGGAAGAACAUAUGUGUAAGUAACUGUGCACAUCUUGACGGUACCUAAUCAGAAAGCCACGGCUAACUACGUG
rnacentral:rRNA from 1 species